rnacentral:lncRNA from 1 species
AAUAAAACGGCACAUAAAAGAGAAGACACGCAGCAUUUACUGACUUGUAGAAUAACGACUUCAGUAGAUUACUACAUCUCCAGCUAAAACAAGGAAACCAUAGCAGCGCAGAUUUUAAACUGAAUGACACUGAACAACAAUUUAAUUGAGUGCUUUAUUUUUCUUUCAGGUGGAAUAGUAAACCAUUGAAGAACUUAUCACCUCAAAAUUGUGUGGCUCAAUUGAGAAUUGCGUGAGGACCUCCUGAGCUUUCUGUCGCCCUUUGAAGCCAUCAUCAUGAUCGUUGAAGCUCAGCAGCACAAGGUCUUUACAAACGUGGAUCGCCUACUGAGGACUACAAAUCCAUCUUCAACGCUACCAUACUAAGGCCAAAUCACUCACACCCAGAGAACCAAACAAGAAGAUCCAAUUGCAAAUCACAAGACUAGGUAAGAGCCACUUAAAUCCAGCCCCAAGGUCUUACAAGGAUAUCAUAGAGGACAAUAAGCUUAAUUAACAUACUUGCUACAAAAUAUGUAAUUGUAAAACGCUAGCAACAAUAGUAAAGCUAUCGAAACAGAAAUUCUGCGCAAGAUCGCAGUAAUGGAUUGACAAGCUAUAUCUAAAUAAACAAAACUCGUGCUCAUGUUUGCUCUGUAAAAUAAUAACAUGAGAUGCGUGCGUUGGAUAAUGAAAUAACUUGGAACGAAUGUUACCUGCAAUAACGGGGUGGUGCAAUGGAAUAAAAGCUUGAGUGCAAGGAAAGCAUACUGUUUAAUAUAGAAUAGAAGGUAAGCCCUGAUAUCAUAAUUUCCAGUGUCUUUGUUUUUUAUGUACUCUGUGAUGUGUGACUGCCAGUUUCAAGUGCUGAAACAUGUUUUAGUAGAAUUCUCUUAAUAGCCCAUAUUACCAAGAUGAAUAUUUGAUGGGAGCAGAUAGUGAUGAACAAUGAGAACCCAGAUUACAAAUUCAUGAUCUUGCUAACGACUGAUUCUACGUGAAGGGGCAUGUGACUACAUGAUUCUAAGUGCAGGAAAAUCGAAUUGAGGAUAUAGGAUAUAAGUAGGAGAAUACCUUCGGGUCACCGUCAUAAAUUGCAAUAUCGUGCCAUGGAUGAAUUGAUUGCUAGCUGGAGUCGGGGCCGCGCUUUAGCCAUGGAUUGUAAGGCAAAGAGAAGAGAAAGCGGGACACAGAGACUAGAGGGGAGAACCCGGGAAAUCCCCGUGCGAUCUCCCCUCCAAACACGAAAAUGAUAAUUUUAUUAAGAUAGUGGUUGACCUGCCAUGCAAGCGCACCUGUCAUGGCAAAGGUCGGAUGACAAAGAUAAUAAACAAGACCUUGGCCUCUUGGCCUUCUGGUCCCGAUAUAUAUCUUAUACAUCAUCCUCAUAAAUAAAUCGAACACCAACACCAGCAUCAUCUCCUUCCUGUCCUUCUCCACCAACAAAUUACACAUAACAUGCUACACCACAGCUCACAUAACCAAUCUUCAGCCAUGUCUACAUCCAGCAACACGUUCAGCGGAUUCUGUAACUGCUUACAACACCACCUGCAGAAAAAAUCUCAAAUCAUCUUCUGCUUUCCGCCAACAACCAAACUUAAAUAUUGCUAAAAUUCCUCAUGAUCGAAGAAAGCAUGGCCGGAAGGGACAGAUCCGCUUAAUAUUUGAGCUAUCGAAACAGAGCCGCGCCACAUCUACAGAACAAAAUUAGAUUUACGCGGAUUAAUGACUUGAUCAAUAACCAAUAGACAGAUAUUCAAUCAGAUCUAGCUUAGGAACGUAAACAAAACACUUAUACAUACCUCUGGAGCUAUCUCCGAGCAAAUCAAGAUCAUGGAGUUCGAGCAUCGAAACGGAUAUCAAGAUAAAGAUCGCAAGGCGAUCUAUAUGAAGCUGCAAUUGAAAAGAUCGAAGGAUGAUCCAUGAAGAGUAGAUCUAUGGAGAAACUAGAGCUUUGCUGAUAAGAUUAGGUAGAUAUGAAAGUUGUGUAUGUGAUUAUUAUAUAGAGG